rnacentral:lncRNA from 1 species
GCGCUGAGCCCGCAGCCUGCAAGCGACUGCACCCUCGGCGAUUCUAGUCCCAGAGGUGGAGUCAAAUGAGGGUCCCAGCCAAUGAACCUAGGAUGACUAAAUGGAAAAGAGAUCCUUUGCCUCCUCUACACCUCUCUACCUGGCUAGCUUGGGCUUCCUCACAGCAUGGCAUCUUAAGGGCUGCGCCACAGCCGCAGCAAUUCGGGAUCCAAGCCGAAGCUGCAACGCCGGAUCCUUAACCCACUGAGCAAGGCCAGGGGUUGAACCCACAUCCUCAUGGAUAUGAGUUGGGUUCUUAACCCACUAAGCCACAGUGGGAACUCCUCAAACUUGAUUUUGAUCUUAUGAAAGAUGAGAUCAUUCUUUUGGGAAAAAUAGCAAUAACGUUGCCAUAAUGCACUAAUAUUAGAGCUGUAAUCUAAAAUGAUACUUAAAUGAGUUAUGAAAAGCUCAAAGAAUCGUGAAGAAAAUAAUCCACCUUUUCAGGUCUCAAAAAUUUAUUGAUAACACUGAUUAGCCUCAGUGGUCCAUAAUGCCAAGCAAACACCAAAGUCAACAAGAAAAGGCUAGCCUACUAUAUAUACAUUGGAGAGUUCAUUUCAUGGCCCUCCUACCUCCUUAAUACAUGGGGAUGGGCUGAGAUAGGUCUUGAUACUUUAUUUAAUUAUUUAAUCUUUUUAGGACCGCACCUGCAGCAUAUGGAAGUUCCCAGGCUAGGGGUUGAAUCAAAGCUGCAGCUGCCGGCCUACACCACAGCUAUAGCAAUGCCAGACCCGAGCUACAUCUGCGACCUACACCAAAACUCAUAGCAGCGACCAGAUCCUUAACCCACUGGGCGGGGCCAAGGAUUGAACCCACAUCCUUAUGGAUACUAGUCAGUUCAUUACUCCUGAGCCACAGUGGGAACUCCCAGGUCUUGGCACUUUUAACAGACAAAGCUAUUUGAGGGUGCUAUGUGGCAUAGGCCACCCACAAAAUUUCCAUAAUUAGAGAAAAACAAACUCUGACAUAUGUUUUUAAAAUUAUUUUAAAUUUUCAUCCAAGAAAGUGAAUGCAAGAAAAAGAAGACUAAAGCGGUCACAUUAAAACUUCCUAUCUAUGGUGUUACAGGAGACGCAGCAGAACACAGCACUCCCGGGGUGGGCAAAGCCAGGAACCAGGUUUCACCACUUUCUGUGGCGUUUGGGCAGGUUUUAUUGCCCUCUAUGGACCUCAGCUGCCUUGUCUGUGGAAAAGGGAGUAAUGAAUGACAGCACCCACCUUACAGAGUGGCUGUGACGUUUAAGGCACUCCUGGAGAACACCAAAGCCACGUUACCGUCAGCAACGACUCCUUCCAGACCUGACAGUGAAACUUCUUCAGUCAGCCAGUCCAGGAAGAAUAUGUUGUUGUUUUUAAGAACUGUAAUAUAUGUCUACAUGCAGGUGUUAAAGGAAAUGAAAUGCAACAUUUUUUUUUUUUUAAAUAAGGAGACUAUUGAUUCCAGUCACUGCAUGGUGCUGUGGAACCUCUGGAACCUGUGAUUCAAAGGCAAAAACCUGGAAAGAAUAUGGACAUUUCUUUCCGUUGUAUUAUAAAGCUAUAUGGACGUUUAGCAUUGGAUGUGGAGAAGAGUUUCUCAAAUAUUCUGAUUAUAGCACAUCCUUGGGCGAGUCCAGCCUGAGAGUUUAGGAGAGGUCACAUCCUGGCACAUAGGGAGGCAUUCUUGGUUCUCCGCAGCAAGACAGGCAGCCAGGAAAGACCAGCUCUGAGAAUUAGGCCUGCUUUCAUGUGUCACCUGAUACAGAGGGAAAGGGUCAGGCCAGCUCCCUGGACGCAGUGUUUGAAGCCUCUGCUGAUAGUUACCUGGAAUCCAGUCUGACAGUUAUAUUUAUUGUCAUAUCACACACAGACACACACACACUCCACGCAAAUUAUAUGUACUCUAAUUCCAAAGCACUCCAUGAAUGAAUGAUCAUUUGAAGCUUGUUAGCUAGUGAGUUAGAAGUAGAAUUCAAUGACUAGUGGCUCACAGAGCUGAAAAACUGUUAAUGCAUGGUAUUAAUAAUGAUGUAGAAAUAAAGAAAACAGGCUAAAUUAUACAAGGUUACAAAAGAGCAACAAAGAUAUUAAAAUAGCUGUUUAGCUUAAUGAUACAA